CCUGCUGCUAAUGGGGGCUGCUCUUCUCUUUCCAGCACUGCUUUGUUUGUGGAGAGAAGGGGGCCUCCAUCUACUGCGCAGAGACAGGCUGUGAACGCAGCUUUCAUCUGCCCUGUGCCACGGAUGGGGAAUGUGUCACGCAGUUCUUUGGGCAGCACAGGUCCUUCUGCUGUGAGCACCGCCCUCAGCAGGCCGUGGAGGCAGCUCCAGAGCAAGACACAAACUGCACCAUCUGCCUGGAGCCCGUGGGGGACAAAAAGUCCUACCACACCAUGGUGUGCCCAGUGUGCACGCAGGCCUGGUUUCACCGGAGCUGCAUCCAGGGACAGGCCAUGAACGCUGGCAUUCUGCGCUUCCGAUGUCCCGUCUGCGGAGACAGGAUGCAAUUCCGGAAAGAAAUGCACCUUCUCGGGAUCCAAAUCCCAGCCAGGUUGGUGCCUUCUGCCCAG